rnacentral:rRNA from 1 species
GCUAGUAAUCGCGGAUCAGCAUGCCGCGGUGAAUACGUUCCCGGGCCUUGUACACACCGCCCGUCACACCAUGGGAGUUGGGAGCACCCGAAGCCGGUGAGUUGACCGCAAGGGGACAGCCGUCGAAGGUGAGACUGAUGACUGGGGUGAAGUCGUAACAAGGUAAC